rnacentral:rRNA from 1 species
AUUGAACGCUGGCGGCAUGCCUUACACAUGCAAGUCGAACGGUAACAGGUUAAGCUGACGAGUGGCGAACGGGUGAGUAAUGUAUCGGAACGUUCCCAGUCGUGGGGGAUAACUGCUCGAAAGAGCAGCUAAUACCGCAUACGACCUGAGGGUGAAAGCGGGGGAUCGCAAGACCUCGCGCGAUUUGAGCGGCCGAUAUCAGAUUAGGUAGUUGGUGAGGUAAAGGCUCACCAAGCCGACGAUCUGUAGCUGGUCUGAGAGGACGACCAGCCACACUGGGACUGAGACACGGCACAGACUCCUACGGGAGGCAGCAGUGGGGAAUUUUGGACAAUGGGCGCAAGCCUGAUCCAGCCAUGCCGCGUGCGGGAAGAAGGCCUUCGGGUUGUAAACCGCUUUUGUCAGGGAAGAAAAGGUUCUGGCUAAUACCUGGGACUCAGGACGGUACCUGAAGAAUAAGCACCGGCUAACUACGU